rnacentral:rRNA from 1 species
CCUACGGGAGGCAGCAGUGAGGAAUAUUGGUCAAUGGACGAGAGUCUGAACCAGCCAAGUAGCGUGAAGGAUGACUGCCCUAUGGGUUGUAAACUUCUUUUAUAUGGGAAUAAAAUGUUCCACGUGUGGGAUUUUGUAUGUACCAUAUGAAUAAGGAUCGGCUAACUCCGUGCCAGCAGCCGCGGUAAUACGGAGGAUCCGAGCGUUAUCCGGAUUUAUUGGGUUUAAAGGGAGCGUAGGUGGAUUGUUAAGUCAGUUGUGAAAGUUUGCGGCUCAACCGUAAAAUUGCAGUUGAAACUGGCAGUCUUGAGUGCAGUAGAGGUGGGCGGAAUUCGUGGUGUAGCGGUGAAAUGCUUAGAUAUCACGAAGAACUCCGAUUGCGAAGGCAGUUCACUGGACUGCAACUGACGCUGAGGCUCGAAAGUGUGGGUAUCAAACAGGAUUAGAUACCCGGGUAGUC